CCUACGGGAGGCAGCAGUAGGGAAUUUUCGUCAAUGGGCGCAAGCCUGAACGAGCAAUGCCGCGUGAACGAGGAAGGUCUUCGGAUCGUAAAGUUCUGUUGAAGGGGAAAAAGAGCGGAGAGAGGAAAUGCUUUCUGAUUGAUAUUACCCUUCGAGGAAGUCACGGAUAACUACGUGCCAGCAGCCGCGGUAAUACGUAGGUGGCGAGCGUUAUCCGGAAUGAUGGGGCGUAAAGGGUGCGUAGGCGGCCUGCUAAGUAUGGGGUGAAAGGUACCGGCUCAACCGGUACAGGCUCUGGAAACUGGCGGGCUAGAGAGCAGGAGAGGGCGGUGGAACUCCAUGUGUAGCGGUAAAAUGCGUAGAUAUAUGGAAGAACACCAGUGGCGAAGGCGGCCGCCUGGCCUGUUACUGACGCUGAGGCACGAAAGCGUGGGGAGCAAAUAGGAUUAGAUACCCCAGUAGUC
rnacentral:rRNA from 1 species